UCAGUUUUGUUGUUUGCCUGUGACAUAUGUUUUGCACAAAUUUUUAACGCCUGAUUGCAAUUUUUGUAUAGCUAUAUAUAUGCUAGUAUAUGUCUGUUUGGAGUGCUAGCUCAAUUUUGUCAAUAGAGGAAAUCAUUAACAACUGUCUUACAAUGUACAAGUAGGAGGAUAAGCUAUCUAUAAAACAGGUUUAACCAACCAUUUUCGUCGUACAAUGACUGUAAAAAUUUAGGAAUAUGGUAGCUGUAAAUAUU
rnacentral:lncRNA from 1 species